rnacentral:rRNA from 1 species
AUUGAACGCUGGCGGCAGGCCUAACACAUGCAAGUCGGACGGUAGCACAGAGAGCUUGCUCUUGGGUGACGAGUGGCGGACGGGUGAGUAAUGUCUGGGGAUCUGCCCGAUAGAGGGGGAUAACCACUGGAAACGGUGGCUAAUACCGCAUAACGUCGCAAGACCAAAGAGGGGGACCUUCGGGCCUCUCACUAUCGGAUGAACCCAGAUGGGAUUAGCUAGUAGGCGGGGUAAUGGCCCACCUAGGCGACGAUCCCUAGCUGGUCUGAGAGGAUGACCAGCCACACUGGAACUGAGACACGGUCCAGACUCCUACGGGAGGCAGCAGUGGGGAAUAUUGCACAAUGGGCGCAAGCCUGAUGCAGCCAUGCCGCGUGUAUGAAGAAGGCCUUCGGGUUGUAAAGUACUUUCAGCGGGGAGGAAGGCGGUGCGGUUAAUAACCGUACCGGUUGACGUUACCCGCAGAAGAAGCACCGGCUAACUCCGUGCCAGCCGCCGCGGUAA